CCUGGUGACCAUAGCGAGUUGGUACCACCUGUUCCCAUCCCGAACACAGAAGUGAAACGACUCCGCGCCGAUGAUAGUGUGGCAGCUGCCAUGUGAAAGUAGGUCAUCGCCAGGG
rnacentral:rRNA from 1 species